GGUCAAGUUAUUAAGGGUGCAGGGCGGAUGCCUUGGCACUAGGAGCCGAUGAAGGACGUGAUAAGCUGCGAUAAGCUUCGGGGAGUUGCACGUAAACUUUGAUCCGAAGAUUUCCGAAUGAGGAAACUCACUUAGAGUAAUGUCUAAGUAUCAUUAAGUGAAUACAUAGCUUAAUGAGGGGAACUCAGGGAACUGAAACAUCUAAGUACCUGAAGGAAGAGAAAGAAAUUCGAUUCCGUAAGUAGCGGCGAGCGAACGCGGAUUAGCCCAAACCAAUAAAGUUUUCUUUAUUGGGGUUGCGGACAUAUCAUAACGAAGAGGUAUCGUAAUUGAAGAGGUUUGGAAAGACCCACCACAGAAGGUAAUAGUCCUGUAUGUUAAACGAGAAGACUUUAGAUAUGAUCCAGAGUACCACGGGACACGUGAAACCCUGUGGGAAGCAGGAGGGACCACCCUCCAAGGCUAAAUACUACCUAGUGACCGAUAGCGUAUAGUACCGUGAGGGAAAGGUGAAAAGAACCCCGGGAGGGGAGUGAAAUAGAACCUGAAACCCUGCACUUACAAGCUGUGGAAGCACAUUUCUUGUGUGACCGCGUACUUUUUGUAGAACGGGCCAACGAGUUACGUUAAGUAGCAAGGUUAAGCACUUAAGGUGUGGAGCCGUAGCGAAAGCGAGUUUUAACUGAGCGUUCAGUUACUUGACGUAGACCCGAAACCGGGCGACCUACCCAUGAGCAGGAUGAAGCGAAAGUAAAAUUUCGUGGAGGUCCGAACCCACGAGCGUUGAAAAGCUCGGGGAUGACUUGUGGGUAGCGGUGAAAUUCCAAUCGAGCCCGGAGAUAGCUGGUUCUCCCCGAAAUAGCUUUAGGGCUAGCCUCAAGGUGAGAGAUACGGAGGUAGAGCACUGAAUGUCCUAGGGGGUAUUGCACCUACCGAAGACUAUCAAACUCCGAAUGCCGUCAUCUUAUACUUGGGAGUCAGACUGUGGGUGAUAAGAUUCAUAGUCGAAAGGGCAACAGCCCAGAUCGUCAGCUAAGGUCCCUAAAUGUAAGUUAAGUGGUAAAGGAUGUGGGAUUGCACAGACAACCAGGAUGUUGGCUUAGAAGCAGCCACUCAUUCAAAGAGUGCGUAAUAGCUCACUGGUCGAGUGAUCCUGCGCCGAAGAUUUCCGGGGCUAAAACUUACUACCGAAGCUACGGCAUCAGCAAUGAUGGGUAGGGGAGCUUCCCAUACGGGUUGAAGCAUGACCGUAAGGACAUGUGGACAGUAUGGGAGUGAGAAUGUUGGCAUGAGUAGCGAGAUGUGGGUGAGAAUCCCACAGGCCGUAAACCCAAGGUUUCCAGGGGAAGGUUCGUCCGCCCUGGGUUAGUCGGGACCUAAGCUGAGGCCGAAAGGCGUAGGUGAUGGACAACAGGUUGAUAUUCCUGUACUACCGAUAACCGUUUGAGAGAUGGGAUGACACAGUAGGAUAAGCUAAGCACACUGUUGGUUAUGUGUGCCCAAGCAUUGAGGCAGUCAAAGUAGGUAAAUCCGCUUUGAUAAUGCUAG
rnacentral:rRNA from 1 species